rnacentral:lncRNA from 1 species
AUCUUUCCUGGAGUUGAAACUGCUCUGAGGAAGAGGUCCACAAGUGGUUGAAAGACUUCCAGAGAACAUCAGAUUUGACUUGGAGAAAAAGGGUACUUCUGGCUGAAGUGGACAACAACACAUGUUGUGGUGCAAUAAUGUACUUCAUCCCGAAGAGGUUGAUUCAUUCGCAACGAAGAGAAUCAAGAUCUCCAUAUGAAAGGAGGUUGCCUCUUUCAUGGGCGUUUACGGAAUGGCGACAACCACAGUCUGACAAGUGCUGAGGUGCUGAAGAGGAGAAAUGUGUCAGCGGACACCAUUGAGAAAUUGACAAAGCUGUUUGAAAUAGUCCACUCUCUUUCAUCAGCUCUAAACAUGAUCAAAUAGGAGUUGCAAGUGGAGUAUGGAGACAACCAUGUGCAUGCCUCUGUGGACUCCUCCAUUUGCCCCAGCUUCAAUUCUGCUACAAAUUAUACCACAAGCUUUUCAAAGAAGCAUGGGUUGCAAUCGUAUGUAGAGAACAAGAUUGAUGAUUCUCAUGAGAAUCUGGAUAACUGCAAUGAAGAAGAAUGUUCACCAGAAUGUUAUGUUUUCGACUGUGGCAACGUGUCUGAGGACACUGUUGUAAUCGAGUGUGCUCCCGUUUCUGAUGUAAACGGCUCAGGUACAUCUGGAAAACCAGCUGAGGGGGCGACGUUAGAGGAAGACUGGAUGGAGAUCUUUGAAGACCUCAAAAAGAAGAUGAGGGAGGAUCUUGUGUGUUUCAGGCCUAAAGUAGCAUCCUUUGUUUCCAGCUUCAAGAAGAUUAAAACAGACAGUGAACUCAUAGCCGCUCUAUCAAACUUUGGCAAAACCAACCCUGGACCAACAGCAAAGUUUCGCCAGGGACACGCACGCCCCGCAAAGAGCUCCAUAGGAGAGUGUGGACAUGGCACAUGCUGCUGGAAGAGGAAGGCACCCAAUUGAAU